GGGGCUGAUUCUGGAUUCGACGGGAUUUGCGAAACCCAAGGUGCAUGCCGAGGGGCGGUUGGCCUCGUAAAAAGCCGCAAAAAAUAGUCGCAAACGACGAAACCUACGCUUUAGCAGCUUAAUAACCUGCUUAGAGCCCUCUCUCCCUAGCCUCCGCUCUUAGGACGGGGAUCAAGAGAGGUCAAACCCAAAAGAGAUCGCGUGGAUGCCCUGCCUGGGGUUGAAGCGUUAAAACGAAUCAGGCUAGUCUGGUAGUGGCGUGUCCGUCCGCAGGUGCCAGGCGAAUGUAAAGACUGACUAAGCAUGUAGUACCGAGGAUGUAGGAAUUUCGGACGCGGGUUCAACUCCCGCCAGCUCCACCA
rnacentral:tmRNA from 5 species